rnacentral:rRNA from 1 species
GCCGAAAGGUCCUGGAAGGGCCUGCCAUAGGGGGUGACAGCCCCGUAGGCGAAAGGGUGGAUGGCUGCCGGGUGUGUUCUUAAGUACCACGGGACACGAGGAAUCCUGUGGGAAUCUGGGGGGACCACCCUCCAAGGCUAAAUACCCUUGGCGACCGAUAGCGAACUAGUACCGUGAGGGAAAGGUGAAAAGCACCCCGGAAGGGGAGUGAAAUAGACCUGAAACCGUGAGCCUACAACCCGUCGGAGUCCCGAUUUACAUCGGGAUGACGGCGUGCCUAUUGAAGAAUGAGCCGGCGAGUAAAUCUCAGUGGCUAGGUUAAGCAAGGAGACUUGCGGAGCCAUAGCGAAAGCGAGUCCGAAUAGGGCAUCUCCCGCUUCGGCGGGAAGGUCGCUGGGAUUUGACCCGAAACCGGGUGAGCUACCCAUGGCCAGGGUGAAGCUCCGAUAACAUCGGGGUGGAGGUCCGAACCAUUUAGCGGUGCAAAGCUACUGGAUGAGCUGUGGGUAGAGGUGAAAUGCCAAUCGAACCCGGAGAUAGCUGGUUCUCCCCGAAAUGCAUUGAGGUGCAGCCUUGGAGGUGACUUGAGGAGGUAGGGCACUGGAUGGGCUAGGGGGCGUGAGCUUACCAAACCCAACCAAACCACGAAUGCCUCAAGUUCCUACUCCAGGAGUGAGACAGUGGGGGAUAAGCUCCAUUGUCGAGAGGGAAACAGCCCAGACCACCGGCUAAGGCCCCCAAGUGCAGGCUUAGUGUGCAAGGAAGUAGGAUCGCUAAAACAGCCAGGAGGUUGGCUUAGAAGCAGCCAUCCUUUGAAGAGUGCGUAACAGCUCACUGGUCGAGGGGUCCUGCGCCGACAACGUAACGGGGCUCAAGCCUGUCGCCGAAGCCGUGGAUCCCGAUGAGCGUAAGCGAGUCGGGAUGGUAGGGGAGCGUCCUGCGUGCAGCGAAGCCGAACUGUAAGGUGAGGUGGAGCGCGCAGAAGUGAGAAUCCCGGUAUGAGUAGCGUAUAUGCCGAUGAAAAUUCGG